rnacentral:lncRNA from 1 species
GAGGAUCUGCUGCAGAAGUACUAUGUCUUACUCACUGGCCAGCAAUUCAACAUUCCCAUUCUUCAUCGAUGCUUGAGCCAUGUCAUGAAAAAUGCCAAGGACCUUUGUAAAAAACAGUGAGUACAUUUAUAUCAAUAAUUAAAAAAGAAUACAAGUUUUGUAAUGUAAAGGUCCUACUAACAGUGAUUUCAUUCGUUCCUUUUCCCAGCAUUCCAGAGAACUACAGGCUUGGAAUGCAUGUGUUUGGGCUCCUUGCAUGCUGUGAUAACUUAAAAGACAUGGAUGAUGUUGUCCAUAGUGCAGCAAUAGUGUUUUGCAGUCCUUGUAGUGGAAGGAAUGUAACAAAACACUACAACAACUUGAAAAUCCUUAUGCAAAAAAGGGGGACCCUGGAUUUGGAUGAAAAGACUGUGAUUGCUGAGGACUACAAGACUGAUGUUCAGAAUGCCCCCUUGAAGACCCAUUUCCAGGCAAUUGCUGACAAUGCAACACUGGACUGUGAGGGCGAAAGAAACAUCUUUCAUGCACCCAAAUUUAUUGCCGGUCUGGUAAAUCACCUUCUACCACAUGCAACUUUGUGGUCAUCAAUGAUGCUCGGGGACCUUGGACGUCAUGGUACUGGUCCUGCUCACCAGCAGCUCAGUAAACUCUAUAGUGACAUUCAGCAAUCCAAGAACCAGAAUUUUACACAAGACAACAGAACCCAAGGAAUCAUGGAGAAAAGCCAGUGGGAUUUGAAACAAAUCCGUAUCCAGAGAAGAAGACUGACAAGGCUUGAUGACUUUGUGGAAAUUUAUCAAAAAAUGCACGAUGCCCUCCUGCUUGAAUAUGCAGACAUGAAAAAAUCAAGACAAAAGGUUUGA